UAGUCUGGUGCCAGCAGCCGCGGUAAUACGGAGGAUGCAAGCGUUAUCCGGAAUCAUUGGGCGUAAAGCGUCCGCAGGUGGUUUCCAAAGUCUGCUGUUAAAGACUGGAGCUCAACUCCGGAACGGCGGUGGAAACUUGGAAACUAGAGUUCGGUAGGGGUAGCAGGAAUUCCCAGUGUAGCGGUGAAAUGCGUAGAUAUUGGGAAGAACAUCGGUGGCGAAGGCGUGCUACUGGACCGUAACUGACACUCAGGGACGAAAGCUAGGGGAGCGAAAGGGAUUAGAUACCCCUGUAGUCCUAGCUGUAAACGAUGGAAACUAGGUGUGGCUUGUAUCGACCCGAGCCGUGCCGUAGCUAACGCGUUAAGUUUCCCGCCUGGGGAGUACGCACGCAAGUGUGAAACUCAAAGGAAUUGACGGGGGCCCGCACAAGCGGUGGAGUAUGUGGUUUAAUUCGAUGCAACGCGAAGAACCUUACCAGGGCUUGACAUGUCGCGAAUCUCGGUGAAAGCUGAGAGUGCCUUCGGGAGCGCGAACACAGGUGGU
rnacentral:rRNA from 1 species